rnacentral:hammerhead_ribozyme from 1 species
AUCCAAUUGAUGAGUCCCAAGCAAGACGAAACGCGCGUCCUUGAU